UGGCUUGUUUCUCUUAGGAGAUUCAAGAUAGCUUUCUCUCUGUACUUUCCUUUUGUAAUUCCUCUGUUCUUGAUAAGAAAGUGACAUUGUUCUUAUCACAAUCACAUACAUGAAAACACACUCAAAAAAGCAUAAACACAUCAUUUUAAUACUACUACCCUGAAGAUCAGAUUCAAGUUUCUGGCGAAUCACUCCUAAGCUGUUCAAUGGGGUAUAGUUUGACGCAUGUGAGGAUCAUUUAUCAGGUAAUAAGGCCAGUUUGAUAAUAAUUUUGACAUGUGUGUCUGAUCCAUUGUGAGAGGAUUUUAAUUGAGGAGGAUAAUGAUAUGAAUCUCCCUCAAAGGACAAAGUAGUAACGCAGAAAAACAACGAGUAACAAACGAUUCAAAAAUUACAAAAACACGAUAAAAUAUAAAAAUAUAUGUAAACAAGUCAAAUGUUGAAAACAUUCAAGACGAUGAUGAUUCUUAAAGUUCCGCUCCAGUUUUUAAUUUUGACUCGGUGAUCCUUUUAUAUAUAUACAUCGCAUGUUCUUGUUUAUCAUCAAUGCACACACAGAUCUGCUCGACCAAGUCCAUAACCUGCGGUUAAAUCAAGCCGUCGUGUUGCAUCAGUUAGAACAUCCAUCGUGUAUUUGUUUUGGUUAUAGAGAUGAUUAAGAGAAGUGAAUGGAGACCUUAGAGGGCCAUCUCAGCUUGUAAUGCAGCGAGUUCUUCUUCCUCAGCUGUCCGCUUAGGAGCAGCAGGACGGACUGGUUGACGACCUGGAACUGAA
rnacentral:lncRNA from 1 species